rnacentral:lncRNA from 1 species
CGAAGAACAGUGGACCUUGGCGUGGGCCAGGUAACCCACCCACUAGUUCAUAGUCAUCCCUGACUGCCCCUAUCCCUUGCUCAUGAGAAAAUUGCUCUCCAAAAUGGCUUGCGUGGGCUGAAAUGGCUGGGUGAGGCCAUGUGUAUGCAUAUCUACAGACUGUGUAUGUGGAGCUUAAACCUGUCUCAGUGCACCAGUACCUGAUGCUGGGAGAUGUGUGACUUAGUCCUGAUCUGCCUGGAACACAUCACUCCUGCCAGCCGGGCACUAACAAUUAUCACUCAAUCCAGGACUUAAACUGUGAUAGAGUGGCUGAUGUUCUGCCUUUGAAUAGAGUGUCCCAAAAGAUGGGACCACUGGUCAGCUGCCAUGGACUAGAUUCUCCACCGGUUGGGGACAAUCUGGUCACCUUGCUGCCCAAUCCGGACCUGGAGCCACCACAGCACGAGUGUCAAGUACUGGCAGAAGCCCAUGGGUGGAGGAAAGACCUCUGCGACUGGCUGAUUGACCCCUGCUGAAAGCCGAGGACCUUGUCCACAGACAGGAACAGUUCUCUUCAUGAAUGAAGGUCAGAGACAAGUGGGUGCUGCCAUGGUGGACAACACAAUGUCAUCUGGGAUGGCUGAACAUCUACCCCCCCAGCACAUCAGCACUUCAGAUGCUUUUGCCAUCUCUUGGAUGCCCUGGUGAAGCCAACAACUGUGAGUACUAUUCAUUGCUCAGGAUAUCAGGAGGGAAGAGAUUCAGUGGCAUGGGGCAAUAACGAAGCAGAUCAAGUGGCUCGAAAAAUGGCUAUGCAGGAGCCUAUCCUGGUUGCAGGCCUGCAAGAGACAGCCACUGAGAACUAGGAUCGGACUAAGGGAUGGCCUCACUUAGAAAAGGCCCAAAUUGCUUAAAAGAUAAAGGACAAUGGCACACUUGAGGGGAAAGCUAUACUCCCCCAGAGAACAAAGAAAAGACUCACUUUGCCAAAUACAGAAAUGGACUCAUUUAGGAGAUAAAAAGUUUGUCCAAGAAGUUAAGUGUAUGUAAUAGACUUUAAGAUUUUAGCCAGAGAGGCAGUAGAAAGUAUAAGGUAUGUCAAUAAGUGAAUGCUUAGCAAGCAAACAGGGCAAAGAGACCUAGAGAGUUUGGUGAAAAGUUGAAGUGAACUUCACUGAGAUAAAACCAGAAAAAUAUAAUCACAAGUAUCUCCUAGUGCUUGUAGAUACUUUUUCAGGAAUAGAUAGAAGCUUUCCUCACCAAACGAGAGACAGCCUCUGCAAUCAUCAAGAAGAUACUGGAAGAAAUCUUCCCCAGGUCUGGAAUGCCCAAGGUAAUCUGGUCAGACAACGGCCCUACUUUCAUUGCCAAGGUAAGCCAGGGUGUGGCCAAGUAUUUAGAGGUCGAUUGGAAAUUACAUUGUAUUUACAGACCUCAAAGUUCAGGACAGGUAGAGUAAAUAAAUAGAACUCUAAAAGAGACCCUGACCAAAUUAACCAUGGAGACUGGCACAGACUGGGUGACACUCCUUCCCUCUUGCUCUCUUCAGAGCAAGAAAUACCCCUUCCAGAUUUAGCCUUACCCCCUUUGAGAUCUUAUAUGGGGCCUCAGCCCCCCUGACUGUAUUAGAUGAUGUUACUGAACCAACAUGUCAUAGUGCCAUAGUAAUAAUGAUUUGUGUGCCAGGCUAAAAGACCUACAGGUGAUACAGAAAGAAAUCUGCUCACAGCUGACAGCAGCCUAUGCCCCGGAGACCCCUGAGACAUCUCAUCAGUUCCAGGUCGGAGAUUGCAGCUACACUGAGCCCAGACACUCGAGCCUCGCUGGAAAGGACCGUACUUGGUGCUGCUGACCACCCUGACAGCUGUCAAUUCUCAGCCCUCACCAGCCGUGUACUAGCUGUUGGGGCUGAGAGCUGGGACCUAGAGGGAAACUCAGUCAUGUUUGUCCUGGGUUCUAUCAAGAUAGGUGUGGGAUAGGCUUUAUUUCCAUUACAAAUGAUGUAACAUUGCAUAUGUUAGUACUCUUAACACUUCUUGGGACUGUGCCUCAGGGAUCACAGUCUGUAUAAGCUUAGAAGUUCUAAAAGCUAGUCAUGACCUUGGUGGAUAGGCUUGGAUAGUGUCCAGGUUAGAAUCCUCAUGUUAAGACUACAAUACCAAGCUGUUAUGCUAGAUGAAGCUGAGUUCUCCAUGAAGUUCUAGGAUUAGAACUAUUAACAAAAAAAGAAGAAGUGGGGAAUGAAGGAUUAAAAAUUAAUAAUAAGCCGCCUAGCUACCCAAAAAGAAGAAGUAGAGUCUGUGAGAACUUGAACUUUUCACCCCUCCCUUGCUGUACAAUGGUUCCCGGAACAUUCUUGCAUGAAAAGUUUCCUGGAACAGCCACAAUGACCCAUAGCCUCCGGCCACAAUGGUCCAAUGGCCCUGUAAAAUGUCACUACCCCUAAUCACAAUGUCACAAAGUCCUGGGUGUGUUGCCUAGUGUUACACAUGACUAGCAUAUGACCUAAAUGUAUGGGCAGUUUGUGGUUUUGGAAUUCCCCUCCUCCCUCCCUCUUGAUCCCCCUGGUUUGUGGUUUUUUCCUUUAUAAGCUCUGUGAAAAUUCAGGUCGGGGUCGAACUCCUCUACUCCCUGUGUGGUGUAUGAGUCUCGACCCCAGCAUGCUGGCCUGAGCUCUCGUUUCAUCUCGCCUACAAUAAAUCUUCCUCGUGUGAUUGCA